GCCCUGGUGUCACAGUAGUUAGAAGAGUUUGGCUGCUAACCAAAAGGUCAGCAGUUCAAAUCCACUAGGGCU
rnacentral:tRNA from 1 species